rnacentral:rRNA from 1 species
UACGGAGGAUGCGAGCGUUAUCCGGAUUUAUUGGGUUUAAAGGGUGCGUAGGCGGACCAGUAAGUCAGCGGUAAAAAUGCGGUGCUCAACGCCGUAGUGCCGUUGAAACUGCAGGUCUUGAGUGAGCGAGAAGUAUGCGGAAUGCGUGGUGUAGCGGUGAAAUGCAUAGAUAUCACGCAGAACUCCGAUUGCGAAGGCAGCUCACUGGAGCGCAACUGACGCUGAAGCUCGAAAGUGCGGGUAUCGAACAGG